CCCGCCAGUGAUGUCACCGCCCCCCCGCGCGCUCGCGCCUCGCGCGUACCCUGAGGGGGCGCGGGGCGCGCGCCCGAGGCUCCAGAUUCUCCCCUCAGAAUCCCCUUGUUCUCCUCAGGGACCCGGUUCUCCCUUCAGCAUCUCGGCUCCCUCAGCCCCCCCCCGUGGGGCAGGUCUCACGUAGUCCCUAGGCCCCGGGGCUGGCAGCAAACCCAGGGGUGGGAGCAGGGCCGGCCGCCUGGGCUGUGGGAAGUGACAAGGCCCCGGGUGGGAACUGGAGCCGAGGUUAUGGGAGGUUUGGGAGCAUCAGGGCCGAGGAAUGAACAGCCGAGUGUUGGUGGUGCCACACGGAACAAGCCAUUGGCGCUGAGUGGUUCCACACCAAUCAGCCCUGCAGAUUUCGGCUCUCGCCGUCUGGCGUCGCAGGGCUGAGCGGCAGCAGAGCUUCCCAGCAGAGGUUCCCAGCUGAGCUCUCCAGCAGACGUUUCCUUCCAUCGCGACGGUUGGGGUCACUCUUUCACAACGAGCGUUUUUCUCCCGAGCUCCAGCUGCGUUUUCCAGUAGGAGGAACCCCGAGCAUUGCAUCCUGUUAACGUGCCGGCCGGGAUCUCGAGCUCUCGGGACUCUCUUUGCUGGACAAAUGCACGUGAGCCCAACACGUGGGUGACAGUGUGAGAGCACAGAGACCACGCUGCUUGGAGGGAAUGAGUGAGAUGGAGGUGAGCUGGGAGGAACUGGGAAGAUGGGGUCUGCCUUGACUCUUGCCAGGAAGCUCCUUUGCAGUGUCACAGGAUAGCUGAUGGAUGGCCGUGAUGGAUAUGUGCAUGGGAACGAGCCCUCACUGCUGUCACCCCUGGGAGCAGAGUGGGAAGACAUGGGACACCUGCAGAAGAGGUGUCCUCCUCAGUCACUGACCCAACAAGCUGCUUCCAGUUGAUCCCUGGCAGCAUCCCUGCCAGUGCAUGCCACUGCAGGGACAGGGUGGCUGUUUGGUGGAGUGCUCAGCCAGCUCCCAGCCCUCCUUCAGGUGCCCGUUCCUCUGAAAUAUUCAUCAGUGUGCUCCGCUGGAGACACCGAAUUGCUCUAAACCUCUCUGAAUAUUUCAUCCUCCUCCCUGCAAAUGGUUCUGCUCGGGCUGGUGACG